UACGUAGGGUGCAAGCGUUGUCCGGAAUUAUUGGGCGUAAAGAGCUCGUAGGCGGCUUGUCGCGUCGUUCGUGAAAACCUGCAGCUCAACUGCAGGCUUGCGGACGAUACGGGGCAGGCUAGGGUUCGGUAGGGGGAGACUGGAAUUCCUGGUGUAGCGGGUGAAAAUGCGCAGAUAUCAGGAGGAACACCGGUGGCGAAGGCGGGUCUCUGGGCCGAUACUGACGC
rnacentral:rRNA from 1 species